CUUCAGCUCCUGGGCAUGCAGUUUUAUCUGGUAAAGCGAAUGAUUAGAGGUCUUGGGGACAAAACUAUCUCCACCUAUUCUCAAACUUUACCUGGGUAAGAACCCGGCUCGCUGGCGUGGAGCCCUGCGUGAAUGCGAGUGCCUAGGGGGCCACUUUGGUGGGCAGAACUGGCGCUGGGGGUGACCU
rnacentral:ncRNA from 1 species